rnacentral:tRNA from 1 species
UCCUUGGUGGUCCAAUGGCUAAGACUCUGCAUUCCCAAUGAAGGCGGCCAAGGUUCGAUCCCUGGUCAGGGAA